CCUCUGAUGAGAGUAGUGACGCGAAUAUCUGUUAGGAGUCACAUUUGACUAAGUACUAUCGUGACUAUAAAAUAUCUAAUAGGACCAUUAUGGUCGGUAUGGCUAUGGUCAUAGAUCGUACCAUAGUUUGACAAGCUAGAAAUGUGCCUGAGCAAAUUAUUGUACUCUUUGUCUGAUCUGGUCACUCCACAUGGGUAGUUAAAAAUCUAUAUCUACCUUCAUAGAUGAAAGUUGUAAUGACUUCACGAAGCAUAACAUGAAAAUCUGAGCAUGUCAUGAU
rnacentral:lncRNA from 1 species